rnacentral:rRNA from 1 species
AUUGAACGCUGGCGGCAGGCCUAACACAUGCAAGUCGAGCGGAUGAAGGGAGCUUGCUCCUGUAUUCAGCGGCGGACGGGUGAGUAAUGCCUAGGAAUCUGCCUGGUAGUGGGGGAUAACGUCCGGACACGGGCGCUAAUACCGCAUACGUCCUGAGGGAGAAAGUGGGGGAUCUUCGGACCUCACGCUAUCAGAUGAGCCUAGGUCGGAUUAGCUAGUUGGUGGGGUAAAGGCCUACCAAGGCGACGAUCCGUAACUGGUCUGAGAGGAUGAUCAGUCACACUGGAACUGAGACACGGUCCAGACUCCUACGGGAGGCAGCAGUGGGGAAUAUUGGACAAUGGGCGAAAGCCUGAUCCAGCCAUGCCGCGUGUGUGAAGAAGGUCUUCGGAUUGUAAAGCACUUUAAGUUGGGAGGAAGGGGAGUAAGUUAAUACCUGGCUGUUUUGACGUUACCAACAGAAUAAGCACCGGCUAACUUCGUG